rnacentral:rRNA from 1 species
UACGAGUUGUGCAAACGUUAUUCGGAAUCACUGGGCUUAAAGGGUGCGUAGGCGGCUACGAAAGUCAGGUGUGAAAUCCCUCGGCUCAACCGAGGAACUGCAUUUGAAACUGUGUAGCUUGAGGGAGACAGAGGUGAGCGGAACUGAUGGUGGAGCGGUGAAAUGCGUAGAUAUCGAGAGGAACACCGGUGGCGAAGGCGAGUCUCUGGGCAAAUCCUGACACUGAGGCACGAAAGCUGGGGGAGCAAACAGG